rnacentral:rRNA from 1 species
CUGCCCCUGUCAGGGGGACAACCCGCCGAAAGGCGGGCUAAACCCGCGUACAUGCCACCGGGGCAUCCCGGAGGCAGGAAAGGCUUCGGCCGGACAGGGAUGGGCAUGCGGCGCAUUAGGCAGUAGGCGGGGUAACGGCCCACCUAACCGACGAUGCGUAGGGGUUCUGAGAGGAAGGUCCCCCACACUGGUACUGAGACACGGACCAGACUCCUACGGGAGGCAGCAGUGAGGAAUAUUGGUCAAUGGUCGGGAGACUGAACCAGCCAAGCCGCGUGAGGGAUGAAGGUACAGAGUAUCGUAAACCUCUUUUGUCAGGGAACAAAGGCGGGGACGUGUCCCCGGAUGAGUGUACCUGAAGAAAAAGCAUCGGCUAACUCCGUGCCAGCAGCCGCGGUAAUACGGAGGAUGCGAGCGUUAUCCGGAUUUAUUGGGUUUAAAGGGUGCGCAGGCGGUCUGUUAAGUCAGCGGUCAAAGCCCGGGGCUCAACCCCGGCCCGCCAUUGAAACUGGCAGUCUCGAGUUGGAGAGAAGUAUGCGGAAUGCGCGGUGUAGCGGUGAAAUGCAUAGAUAUCGCGCAGAACUCCGAUUGCGAAGGCAGCAUGCCGGCUCCACACUGACGCUGAGGCACGAAAGCGUGGGUAUCGAACAGGAUUAGAUACCCUGGUAGUCCACGCAGUAAAC